rnacentral:rRNA from 1 species
GACGAACGCUGGCGGCGUGCUUAACACAUGCAAGUCGAACGGAAAGGCCCUGCUUUUGUGGGGUGCUCGAGUGGCGAACGGGUGAGUAACACGUGAGUAACCUGCCCUUGACUUUGGGAUAACUUCAGGAAACUGGGGCUAAUACCGGAUAGGAGCUCCUGCUGCAUGGUGGGGGUUGGAAAGUUUCGGCGGUUGGGGAUGGACUCGCGGCUUAUCAGCUUGUUGGUGGGGUAGUGGCUUACCAAGGCUUUGACGGGUAGCCGGCCUGAGAGGGUGACCGGCCACAUUGGGACUGGGAUACGGCCCGGACCCCACCGGGAGGCAGCAGUGGGGAAUAUUGCACAAUGGGCGGAAGCCGGAUGCAGAAACGCCGCGUGCGGGAUGACGGCCUCCGGGUUGUAAACCGCUUCCGUCUGUGACGAAGUGUGAGUGACGGUAAUGGGUAAAGAAGCACCGGCUAACUACGUG